UUUUCACGGGACGGGACAGGCCAACCCGCGAGUUUUGGCUCGGAUUGCCAGCUCUAACCACCACACCCAUUUUUGAGUUUUUCUUCACUGUGAAACCCACCGUCGGAAAUUUUCAGACAGACGCCCAUUUUUGAGAAUUUUUUUCUCUGACACCCAUAUUAUUUAUAAUUAGAUUUUUCCUCUCGCUUCUUCUUCCUUCGGUCUUUUUUUUGUCGAUUUCUUUCUUCCUUCUUCUUCAGUAUUUUAAUCAAAGAAGAAGGUUUUUGUUCGAUCAACAUAAACGGAUUUCGGUCAGUCGCUGAACAACAUUGAUUUUCGUAUUUUAUUUUUUUUUUGAAAUCCAUACGGUGAUUGAUAUCAGAUUUUUUUUGUAAAUUCUUUUUGAGAUCUGAUUGAUGUGGAUCGAGAAGGAAACUAGAUUCUGGUUCGCUCGUGUGUGAGUACAAGCUUUACUGGUUCAUAAAUACUUUGAUUUGGAUCAACAUAAACCGAUUUUUAAAGGGAUUCGGCAGUAACAACAUUAACAAAAUAUGGAGGUAUUGGGUAGCUGGUGAUGGCUGAUAUGUUCAAAUAAUAAUGGAAAUGAAAUUGGGUCUUCUCGUAUGUAUCAAACGAAGGAGCAUCAGUUGGUUGCAAUACAUAUGGUGUUGGGAGGAAUUUAUGCUGUAGCUGAGAUGAUCAGAGAAUUAACAAAGGGGGCUUGAACUGUUUGAAAAAUUGUCGCAACCAACUCAGUUGGGAGACGAGAUUAAGGUGGACAGAAAAGGAUAACUGUUACAAUGGUCGAAUUGGACAGAGUUUGAUUAAAUGGUUGCAUUAUGCAACCAUUCUUGGGAUACUGAGUAAUUUGUUUCUUAGUAAUUCAUGUUCUGACGUACAUAUUUUUGAGCUAUAAACCGGUUCCGAACUUUUUCUCUUUCAUAAUUUGUUUCAAUCCAAACAGAUACAUCGUCAAAGAAGCUUUCUAUACCACGACAUUGUGAAGGGGUAUUAUUAAGCUGCAGGAAGAAGCUGGAUGAGACGGAUAAGAAACAUAAUGGUUAGAUGGCCUUGCAAGUUUAUUCUUCAACACAAGUAGUCCUGCUAGUCAACAAAAAAUCAAAAAUGUGAAUUUGUUGCUAUUUGAAGACUAAAAGACUUUCAAUGGGAAUGUUCUUUUCUUAUUGAAAAAUAUGUUAUGCAGCUAAAGAAAUGUUUACAUAACUUGUUAUACAGCUAUAAAAAUGUCUGUAUGUAGUGCUAUGCAAUCGAGAAAAUGACUGCAUCAUGUAUUAUGUAA